rnacentral:rRNA from 1 species
CAGCCGCCGCGGUAAUACGAAGGGUGCAAGCGUUAAUCGGGAUUACUGGGCGUAAAGCGUGCGUAGGCGGUGAGUUAAGUCUGCUGUGAAAUCCCCGGGCUCAACCUGGGAAUGGCGGUGGAUACUGGCUCGCUAGAGUGUGUCAGAGGAUGGUGGAAUUCCCGGUGUAGCGGUGAAAUGCGUAGAGAUCGGGAGGAACAUCAGUGGCGAAGGCGGCCAUCUGGGACAACACUGACGCUGAGGCACGAAAGCGUGGGGAGCAAACAGGAUUAGAUACCCGCGUAGUCCCUGUCUCUUAUAC